AUGAGUUAGUGAGGACUGAAGAGAGGAGAGUUAAACAAACAAGCAAACAAACAAACACACAGGGCAAGAAAACAGGACCCAACAGCAGACGCUGACACCCUCCCGACCUGCAGUGCAGAGUGAUUCCAAGAACCGCGCGCGACAUUCCGUGUCUCAGGAAAGAUGGUACCCACACUAAGCUCAGCCAAGAACGGCCUCCGCGCCCGCUUAAUUUUCCGAACCUGUUCUUGUGGUGCUGAUGGGGAGGGUGGCCGGGAAGAGAGGAGAGACCACUGAUCAAGUUGCUGUUUGUAUAUUGGUUGAUUGCUGUUUGCUGUUUGUUUAUUGAUUGAUUUUUUUUUAUUGGCCCCUGGCCGAGGAUGAGCUAAGAAGCCUUUUGCAUACCUUGACCUGACCUCACUUAUCCUUCCACACUUCUACACCCUUUUCCUUCCUGCGCAGGGUCCUGAGCAGGUGAUUCAGGCCCACAUUCUCGUCAUUCCCGCCUCGCUGCUCAGCCCCUUUCCUUGGCCUGCAUUUCCUAUUGAGGAAUGAAAAUUGAGAACGCCCAUGUCCACAGACGCCACCUAGAUGAACUCUGAGUUCUGACUGUAAUCUGUAACAAGGUCUAAAUCAAGCAGUGCUUAGAGCCUCCCACAACGGGCCUUCAACCAUAUUUGGAAGAAAAGAAGGAAUCCAGAGAGGAAAUGGUUACCUGUGCUUACAGGCGGUCUGCACCACAAGCGCUGACUCAGCAAGAGGGAACUCUGCGUACCCCUGUCCCGAAAGCCCCUUGAGCAAGGACGUCAGAAAGAGACUAAAAUGGAGGGACAGCCUCCGAGGGCCCUGGAGCAGGGUAACAUGAGAUCUAUGACUAUCUAGUCAUUCGCUACCUGCAUUUGAAAGCAUAUGCAUUAUUAUGGUUGUCACCAUUUAUAGUAGUAUACUUAGACGUUGUCCAUCGAAUCUGGACGCAUACUCAAUUUGAAACUAAAUAAAACCUAAAGGAACAUAGGUGACCAUGAGGGACUCCAGGGAACAUUCUCUGGGACGGAACUCUGUGAAGAGUGGAGAAGAGGCCUCUAGGAUCAAGCUAUUCAUCAUGGAUACAGCCUCAGAUCCAGGACCUCCACCCUCUGGUGCAGUAUUUCCAGGAUAUUAGUGGGGGACUGUGGACCAUUCAAGCCUUGGAACAAGUCUAGCCCAACCACUGUCUAACUUUGCUGCUGACGGAAGCCUGACCCAGCCCUGACCUCGUAGACCUUAUAGGAAUAUGUUCUCAGCUCACUGCUCCACAUUUCUGGCCCUGUGACCUCACCAAACAAACACCUGCCUAUCUCAGAGCAUUGUAUCUAUUCAUGUUGAUUUCUGUCUCUUCCUUAUUAGUCUCUUGCACAAACCAUGAACUGGAUGAAAGCAAGAACGGGAUCGUUUGGGUUCUGUGGGUGACAUCAGGACUUGACUGUGGACUUGACUUGCAUCUGGCACAGCCUGCUCGCCAGCUCCUAUUCCCUUGCCCACCUGUUCUUUGACCUUGAACGCCCAACCCCUUUUUCUUGGCAUCAGUAUCGUCCUCUCUAAGAGCAGAGAUUAGGAUUAAUAAAUCUAUGACGUGCUUGUCACAGGGACUAAUGAGACUGUA
rnacentral:lncRNA from 1 species